CGGCGAGGUGUCCGGGAGACCGAGGAGUAACCGCUGACCAACCAAUUCCAAGAAGCCAGGGCAAAGUGACUGGUUCUCCUGCCAGAUGCACCGCCCCUUAACCCCGCCCCUAGCCUGCCAUCUUUCCCGCUAGGCUCAAGAGGAUUGGUUUUCUCACUAGAGGCUCUGCGCUCGCUCCGCCGCACCCCGCCCCCCGCUCCAGAGUUGAAGUCUGAGUAUCUUCCGGCUGCUGGGCAUUCAGGCCUGUCUAGUUCAGUUAGGCCUCCUGUCCUAAGUAUGGCUGGCAGUCUUGACACCACUGGGGGACCGGAAACUUGAGGCCGAGCAGACCCCUCCUUCUCCCAACAGCUCUUACCACCACCACCACCCCUGGUAGGGUGACCCAACGUGGUGCCAAUAACCAGGCCUUGAUGACUUACAAGCAAAAGCUAGACUUCCUCCAAGAUCCCAUCUUCAAAGUGUCAAGGUGUAAAGUACAUCAGUUUUGGAAUGCUGUGGAAGGAGUACAUUCAACUCUGAAGUACAGACAUUCUGAGGAUGCUAGCAUGCCCGCUGUCAUUCAAUGACAGAAUGCUGAACUGAUGCUAAAGCUGAUGCAAGCCUAGUUAAUGUCCUAUGGUCCAGAAAACUGACCUUUGGAGUUACAGUUGGCAUUGGUAACAACUUGUCUGUAUGGGUUAUAAACUGUUCGUUUUUUUCUAUCAGACAGCAUUUGCAACUUACCAGUCUCUUAAGAUGACUUAUAAAUUUGUAAGGAGUGGGCUUUGAUCAUUAAAAAAUAGUAUUCCCCUCCUCCAGUCACCGAGUGAUUUAUUAGACAAAGUUCUAGUCUAGUGACUACUAGGUAGAAUUCUUUCUGGAUUCCCCUCCCACCUGCCGCCACCCUCCUCCCUGAGGGGCUUAUUUGUUUUGUGAGACAAGGAUUUGCUUCACAGCCCAGGCUGGGCUUGAACUCAAGAUCUUCCUACUUUAGCAUCUCCAAGUGCUGGAGUCACAGGUAUGAAUCACCACGAG
rnacentral:lncRNA from 1 species